rnacentral:rRNA from 1 species
UGGGGAAUAUUGCACAAUGGGCGCAAGCCUGAUGCAGCGACGCCGCGUGGGGGAUGACGGCCUUCGGGUUGUAAACUCCUUUCGUUAGGGACGAAGCCACACCUUUUUUGGGUGUGGUGACGGUACCUUUGUUAAGAAGCACCGGCUAACUACGUGCCAGCAGCCGCGGUAAUACGUAGGGUGCGAGCGUUGUCCGGAAUUACUGGGCGUAAAGAGCUCGUAGGUGGUUUGUUGCGUCGUCUGUGAAAUUCCGGGGCUUAACUUCGGGGUGGCAGGCGAUACGGGCAUAACUAGAGUGCUGUAGGGGAGACUGGAAUUCCUGGUGUAGCGGUGGAAUGCGCAGAUAUCAGGAGGAACACCGAUGGCGAAGGCAGGUCUCUGGGCAGUAACUGACGCUGAGGAGCGAAAGCAUGGGAGCGAACAGGAUUAGAUACCCUGGUA